rnacentral:rRNA from 1 species
CCUUGAGUUUGAUCAUGGCUCAGGAUGAACGCUGGCGGCGUGCCUAAUACAUCCUAGUCGAACGAGGUGCUUUUUGUAGCAAUACGAGGAGUCUCCUAGUGGCGAACGGGUGAGUAACGCGUGGGUGACCUACCCCAAAGUGUGGAAUAACAGUCCGAAAGGAUUGCUAAUGCCGCAUGUGGUCUGCGAGUUUAGAAAUCGUUGACUAAAGGAGCAAUCCGCUUUGGGAGGGACCUGCGUCCCAUCAGCUAGUUGGCGAGGUAACGGCUCACCAAGGCGACGACGGGUAGGGGACCUGAGAGGGUGGCCCCCCACAAUGGAACUGAAACACGGUCCAUACACCUACGGGUGGCAGCAGUAGGGAAUAUUGCGCAAUGGGCGAAAGCCUGAUGCAGCUUUUUCGCGUGCGCGAUGAAGGUCUUCGGAUCGUAAAGCGCUUUUCUGGGAGAUGAGAAAGGACAGUAUCCCAGGAAUAAGUCUCGGCUAACUACGUGCCAGCAGCCGCGGUAC